rnacentral:rRNA from 1 species
UACGAAGAGGGCUAGCGUUGCUCGGAAUUACUGGGCGUAAAGCGCACGUAGGCGGCUUUCUAAGUCGGGGGUGAAAUCCUGGAGCUCAACUCCAGAACUGCCUUCGAUACUGGAGAGCUCGAGUCCGGGAGAGGUGAGUGGAACUGCGAGUGUAGAGGUGAAAUUCGUAGAUAUUCGCAAGAACACCAGUGGCGAAGGCGGCUCACUGGCCCGGUACUGACGCUGAGGUGCGAAAGCGUGGGGAGCAAACAGG